rnacentral:rRNA from 1 species
UCCGGUGACGAUAGCGAAGUGGAACCACCUGAACUCAUACCGAACUCAGAAGUUAAGCACUUCAGCGGCGACAAUAGUUGGGCCUGCCCCUGCCAAGAUAGCACGUUGCCGGGU